rnacentral:lncRNA from 1 species
AAGAAUUACCUCAACGUUUUAUUUAAUCCUGCAGCUUGUACAGAAGAGCACUGCUCGAUUGAUGUUCAAUGACUUUAUAAGGAAUGCUAGGUGCGUUGCAAAUCUUCAGUAUGAAUGUAUUCGCCUUUUAUUUCGUAAAUGGAAUUCAGUUGACUGAUCUUCUUUGAUUUUUCAUGUAUGAAAGGAAUUGUUUUCUAUUUUGUAUACGGAAUUCAGUUGACUGAUCUUCUUCAAUUUUGCAUUUGCAGUUCCAUUGAUGAGUCUGCUAAAGA